rnacentral:snoRNA from 1 species
CUCUGUGAUGAUCAAGCAUUUGAGCUGCUGUGUCUGGGCCACUGAUGUUCAUGAUGGAGCUGAGGAUCUAAGUAG